UACGGAGGGGGCUAGCGUUGUUCGGAAUUACUGGGCGUAAAGCGCACGUAGGCGGCUUUGUAAGUUAGAGGUGAAAGCCCGGGGCUCAACUCCGGAAUUGCCUUUAAGACUGCAUCGCUAGAAUUGUGGAGAGGUAAGUGGAAUUCCGAGUGUAGAGGUGAAAUUCGUAGAUAUUCGGGAGAACACCAGUGGCGAAGGCGACUUACUGGACACAUAUUGACGCUGAGGUGCGAAAGCGUGGGGAGCAAACAGGG
rnacentral:rRNA from 1 species